UUUGAUAAAGUGUGUCUUUAUUGUCAUUUUCUUUAAUAAAAUUAUUUGUUCACUUCCCAGCUAUGUGACCCUGGGCAAGUCACUUGACACCUAUUGCCUAGCCCUUACCACUCUUCUGCCUUGGAGCCAAUACACAGUCGGAAGAGUCAUCGAGGUCCAGUGGCAAGACAAAGCUCAGGACGACUGCCAGUGGCCUGGGACACAGUGGAUAACUCUGGCAUCUUUGACAUCUGACCAAGCUCUAAAUACUCCAUAGCACCUGCUUCAGCUGCCUUCAUGGCUGUUGGAACAAAUUGUUCUCAUCUGCCCUUUCCACUGGAGGAAGUCUUCAUGGAAUGUUACUAGAGAAGAGAAGAAAGGAUUUAGGCAGUAGUCAGAACGCUGUGAUAGGAAAAACAGAAGGAAGUAAUCCACAGAGGUUUGACAAGAUGUAGCUUCAGAGGCACAGUCAGGGGGGCAGCAAGUGCUCUUUCUAUCUAUGUGUUCAUAGGAAUUUAUACAAAUAUGCUCCUGAUCAAUCCACAAACAUUGAUCGGGAGCCAGGCAUGGUGUUAGGUGCUGGGGAUGCAAAGACAAAAGUGAAAAGUUCUCUGUCCUCUGGGCACUUACAAUUUAAUAGGGAAAACAACAUCUACACAUAUAAUUAUAUACAACAUAAAUACAAAGUAAAUGCAAACUAAUUUUAAGAAUUAUGGGAAGGGGGUGGUUUACUAACAAUUAGAGGGAUUCCAAAUGGCCUCAUGUAGACGGUAGAAGUUGGACUGAAUUUUCAGAGAAUCUAGGAAUUCUAAGAUAUAGAAGUGAGGAGGGACUGUAUUCCAGCCAUGGUGGGCAGGGGAAAGGCUGUAUGAAGACACAGAGAUGGGAAAGAGAAUGUCAUGUAAAAGGAAUAGCACAAAGAUCGGUUUGACUGGGCUUUUGAGUAUAGAAAGGAUGGCAGCAGAGAUGAUGUUCAUAAAUUUGGAAAGGUGGAGAGAAGCCAGGUUGUGAAGGAAUUUUAAUGCCAGAUGUUGGGGGCAUCUGGUUGGCUCAGUGGAUAGAGAGCCAGGCCUAGAAACAGGAGGUCCUGAGUUCAAAUUUGGCCUCAGACAGUUCCCAGCUGUGUGAUCCUGGGCAAGUCACUUAUCCCCCACUGCCUAGCCCUUACCACUCUUCUUCUUUGGAAUCAUUACACAGUAUUGAUUCUAAGACAGAAGGUAAGGGAUUCAAAAUAAAUAAAUAAAUGCCAAAUGUCAA